rnacentral:rRNA from 1 species
GACGAACGCUGGCGGCGUGCUUAACACAUGCAAGUCGAACGGUGAAGGGGUCUGCUUUUGUGGGCCCUGGAUGAGUGGCGAACGGGUGAGUAACACGUGAGUAACCUGCCCCCUUCUUCUGGAUAACCGCAUGAAAGUGUGGCUAAUACGGGAUAUUCUGGGUCUGUCGCAUGAUGGGUCUGGGAAAGAUUGCGCCUUUGGGUGUUUUUGGUGGGGGAUGGGCUCGCGGCCUAUCAGCUUGUUGGUGGGGUGAUGGCCUACCAAGGCGGUGACGGGUAGCCGGCCUGAGGGGGUGGACGGUCACACUGGGACUGAGACACGGCCCAGACUCCUACGGGAGGGAGCAGUGGGGAAUAUUGCACAAUGGGCGCAAGCCUGAUGCAGCGACGCCGCGUGAGGGAUGGAGGCCUUCGGGUUGUAAACCUCUUUCGCCAGUGAAGCAGGCCUGCUCCUUGUGGGUGGGUUGACGGUAGCUGGAUAAGAAGCGCCGGCUAACUACGUG